ACAUGCAGUAGAACGCUGAAGAGAGGAGCUUGCUCUUCUUGGAUGAGUUGCGAACGGGUGAGUAACGCGUAGGUAACCUGCCUUGUAGCGGGGGAUAACUAUUGGAAACGAUAGCUAAUACCGCAUAACAAUGGAUGACACAUGUCAUUUAUUUGAAAGGGGCAAUUGCUCCACUACAAGAUGGACCUGCGUUGUAUUAGCUAGUAGGUGAGGUAACGGCUCACCUAGGCGACGAUACAUAGCCGACCUGAGAGGGUGAUCGGCCACACUGGGACUGAGACACGGCCCAGACUCCUACGGGAGGCAGCAGUAGGGAAUCUUCGGCAAUGGGGGCAACCCUGACCGAGCAACGCCGCGUGAGUGAAGAAGGUUUUCGGAUCGUAAAGCUCUGUUGUAAGUCAAGAACGAGUGUGAGAGUGGAAAGUUCACACUGUGACGGUAGCUUACCAGAAAGGGACGGCUAACUACGUGCCAGCAGCCGCGGUAAUACGUAGGUCCCGAGCGUUGUCCGGAUUUAUUGGGCGUAAAGCGAGCGCAGGCGGUUUGAUAAGUCUGAAGUUAAAGGCUGUGGCUCAACCAUAGUUCGCUUUGGAAACUGUCAAACUUGAGUGCAGAAGGGGAGAGUGGAAUUCCAUGUGUAGCGGUGAAAUGCGUAGAUAUAUGGAGGAACACCGGUGGCGAAAGCGGCUCUCUGGUCUGUAACUGACGCUGAGGCUCGAAAGCGUGGGGAGCGAACAGGAUUAGAUACCCUGGUAGUCCACGCCGUAAACGAUGAGUGCUAGGUGUUGGAUCCUUUCCGGGAUUCAGUGCCGCAGCUAACGCAUUAAGCACUCCGCCUGGGGAGUACGACCGCAAGGUUGAAACUCAAAGGAAUUGACGGGGGCCCGCACAAGCGGUGGAGCAUGUGGUUUAAUUCGAAGCAACGCGAAGAACCUUACCAGGUCUUGACAUCCCGAUGCUAUUUCUAGAGAUAGAAAGUUACUUCGGUACAUCGGUGACAGGUGGUGCAUGGUUGUCGUCAGCUCGUGUCGUGAGAUGUUGGGUUAAGUCCCGCAACGAGCGCAACCCCUAUUGUUAGUUGCCAUCAUUCAGUUGGGCACUCUAGCGAGACUGCCGGUAAUAAACCGGAGGAAGGUGGGGAUGACGUCAAAUCAUCAUGCCCCUUAUGACCUGGGCUACACACGUGCUACAAUGGUUGGUACAACGAGUUGCGAGUCGGUGACGGCAAGCUAAUCUCUUAAAGCCAAUCUCAGUUCGGAUUGUAGGCUGCAACUCGCCUACAUGAAGUCGGAAUCGCUAGUAAUCGCGGAUCAGCACGCCGCGGUGAAUACGUUCCCGGGCCUUGUACACACCGCCCGUCACACCACGAGAGUUUGUAACACCCGAAGUCGGUGAGGUAACCUUUUGGAGCCAGCCGCCUAAGG
rnacentral:rRNA from 1 species